UUCGGAACCUUCUAGACUAGAGAUCUAAUCCGGUCGCGUUCCCCUCGACGUCGACGAGGAGGGAGAAUACGACGUCGCCAUUGGAGCAAGCGCGAUCUCUCCUCGCCAUCCAUAUCGGCGGAUCCCUCUUCCCUACGCUCCCUCCGACGAUCUCGAGUACGUUCUCUCCCUUCGUUGCGAUCUCCGUCCCCUUUGGAUCGGUUCUCGAUUGCUCCGAUUCCGCGGCUUCUUUUGAUCGAAGCGAGCUGGCUUCCUUGCUUUGCUCUUAUGAACAAUCAAUUUGCCGGGGUUCCGUAUCUUUUUCUUGGAAAAAUUUAAAGAAUAUACUUUUUCUCGCUGAUACAUCAUGCUUAAAUCUUGGAAAGGCAAUAACAGUUCUUUCAAACUUUGCACGCUUCAUCUGCUCUGAAGAUUCCAAGAUGCGCUUCUCUCCAAAUCACAUUUAGCAGUGCUGGGGUAUGCUUGACUUAUAAGGGAGGCUAUCUUCCAAGGCCAUGAAUGCUGGCGAUCGAGGUCCUCUUCUCGGGGCCGAGCACCGCCUGGUGCAGGAGGCUUCUGUACCGGCCAUUGCUGAGGACCUCAAGGUGGUCCCCCACAUGGACAUGCAGGGUCUCGAAGUUUGCAGGUAUUGCCUUCCAGGGUUCACCGUCGGCUCCUGCAGCGAUCUGGAGGCCGUCACGGUUUUGGAGGACAAUACUGAUUAGCCCAUAGUCAGUGUGGGGCGCGAGCCCAACUGCAGAGUCUGGUUGGGACUGCUGGCAAGGGUAGCAGUUCACGGCCACGAGCUGCAUGCCCUCCUUCAACUUGUCUCUUAUGUGCAGAAAUUGCAUGAAGAUAAACUACAUCUAUGAGACUAUCAAAAGCGGAAAAGAAAAAGCCUGUGAAGCAGUUACCUAUACUCCGGUGGGUUCCGCGGCCAGAAGUGGAUCCACUCGCUGAGCGGAUGAGCGUAGUGCUUCAGAAGCAGCCUUGAGUUGCUGUCGCCAUCAUGCCGAGCUCCCUCAUACCUCACCGGCCUCUUUACGUCCUCGGAUGCAAUUUCUGCUUUCUCCUCCAGCGGCAGCUCAAAGAAGCUCGAAGCUGCUUCCAGGGCGCCCAUCAUGACUGAUUUGCUGAUGCCAUGGUUUACAACCUAUAUUUCAACCGUCGAAAGUUUAAGUCCAAGGUGAAAGACAAUUGACUAGUAAAGACAAAGCUUCGAAAGAUAUAAAACAAAGCGGAGACAGAAGAUACAUGAGACGAUAUCUACCGGUGGUGGAUGAAUUCUCGUUGGGUAUUCACAACAAUUGAAGAAAAACGAAGACGGUGAUCACCUCGAAGCAUCCGAAUUUCUGGCAAGCUGCACCGAUAUCCUUGGUCACCACAGACCUAGUUGCCAAGUGCGGACUACGUAAGAGCCUGAAAUCUAUGACCGGUAUGGUAUUUGGCUCCAUUCCCCUCGCCGCCGACUCUAUCGGAAUGGCAUCUAUGCGGGGAAGCGACAAACCGACCAAUUCUCGGGCGCUCAUUAUAAUGUAAGAAAGAUUGAGGAAGCAAGGUCUAGAGAAAAGGUUCAUCCCCGGAAGCCUUUUAGGAACGCUAUGCCUCCUAGUCUUUCUCUCGUGCUUCUCUCUCUCUCUCUCUCAAUGCCUGUUAUGGCAAUCCUAAAAGGUACUCUCAGAAUGCACCCCGAAAUAUUUCCGGUGAGAGUCACUGAAGUGGCACGGUGCGUCUCCCAAAAUGUCGCCAUUGAGAUUUUGACACGUGGACCACUGAUGCACGGUGUGGCUCCCCACUUGCCAGUGAAGGUUUGCCCAUGUUUUUGUUGGGGAAAAUUUCAUGAGUACCCUUCUUGCAGGUCAUUAUAUCAUAGAUGCCCCUCUAAAAUUAAAAAUAUCAUCAAUGCCCCUCUAAAUAUUGAAAAUACUCAUGAAUGCCCUUUAGGUAAAAAAUUCAUGAAAAACAUCAUCCAUUAUUUUUUAAAUGCCAUUUUUGCCCCUAAUAUCAAUUUAACAAAGUAUAAAAAUUUAAAGUUAUAUAAAUGAUUGGUUCUAAAUUUUGAACUGUAUAUUAACUAAAUUUUACUUUUUAAAAUUUUUAAUAAAACAUUUAUAAUUUACUAAAUAUAAAAUGCUCAUUUUUAAUUUUUUUCGCUAUGAAAUUAUAUAGUUUAUCAUAAUAUAUAACUGUCAAUAUUAGUAUUCAAUGUUACCUCAAAAGUUAAUUAUUUAUUAAUUCUAUUUAAAUAUAAUAAUUUACAUACAUUACACACAAAAAAAAGUAGAUAGCCAAAAUUCUUGAUAGUAUCAAUUGACAUUCAUAUAAAAUGUAUUUUCUACAAUAAAAUAAAAGUGCGUAAAAUUCCUUUCACCGAUAGGCCAUUUGAACAACCCCUUUAAUUUUAAUUUUUUUUAUUUACACCUUCUCAAUUUUAUUUUUUUUUUACAAUUGAGUGAUUUUUAUUAGCCAAUUCUUUUAAAAAAAAUUAGUAAAUUAAUGAAUGAGAUAACUCGGCUAAGAAAGUUUACUACAUGCAAAAACCUAAUAAAAAAACUAAAGGCUUAAGAGGCCUUAAUAAAAAAAAAGUUGAAGGGGUCUAUUUUAAAAUCGACCUAUAGGUGAGGGGUCUCCAUACACUUUUACUCACCAACAAUUAGGGGUAGAAAAGUCAUUUUAUCUUAUAAAAAUUUACAAAAACAAAUAGAGGGUAAUGGAAGGGUAUUCAUGAUAGUUUAUGAAGUUUGAGAGGGCAUUGGUGAUAUUUCAAAAUUUUGAAGGGUAUCUAUGAUAUUCUUAAAUUUUACAAGGGUAGUCAUGAAAUUGCCCCUUUGUUGCGUCGGUGUCGCGGGGGAAGGUAUAAUAUAUUAAUAGGUUAAUUUUAUACAUUUCACUACAAAUUUCACUACAAAUAUAGUGAAUUAUAAAUAUAUUUCUAUAAAUUUUAACUUUUAUAUA